rnacentral:rRNA from 1 species
CUUGUCUCAAAGAUUAAGCCAUGCAUGUCUAAGUAUAAACUUUAAUACAGUGAAACUGCGAAUGGCUCAUUAAAUCAGUUAUCGUUUAUUUGAUAGUACCUUAUUACUUGGAUAUCCGUGGUAAUUCUAGAGCUAAUACAUGCUAAAAGUCCCGACCCCUGGAAGGGACGUAUUUAUUAGAUAAAAAACCAAUGCCUUCGGGCUCCUGGUGAUUCAUGAUAACUUUACGAAUCGCAUGGCCUUGCGCCGGCGAUGGUUCAUUCAAAUUUCUGCCCUAUCAACUUUCGAUGGUAGGAUAGUGGCCUACCAUGGUUUCAACGGGUAACGGGGAAUUAGGGUUCUAUUCCGGAGAGGGAGCCUGAGAAACGGCUACCACAUCCAAGGAAGGCAGCAGGCGCGCAAAUUACCCAAUCCCGACACGGGGAGGUAGUGACAAUAAAUACUAAUACAGGGCCCUUUUGGGUCUUGUAAUUGGAAUGAGUACAAUUUAAAUAACUUCACGAGGAACAAUUGGAGGGCAAGUCUGG